AGGAAAUAGAAAAAAUAAAACAACAAACUACAGAAGAAAUACGAAAAAUAGAAGAAACUAAAAAUAGUAGGAUUGCUGAAUUAGAAAAAGAACUACAAAUGUUAAAAGAUUUGUAUGAACAAAGACAAAAAGAAAAGGAAGAAAAAGAUAAAGAACAAAAAUUACUAAACGAGAUAAAUCAAUUUAAAGAAAAAUUAGAAAUAAAUAAUAU
rnacentral:lncRNA from 1 species